CUGCUCCAGCCACCGCAGUGGCCAUGCGGGAAUAAACUUUCUCCAGCCACACAGGACAAGAACUUGACAAGACUGAAGGCGAUGACAUCGAAAGGAGAGAAUGCAAACAUGCAGAAGUAUAUUUCUCCACUGACUAGCCUCCCUUUUGAAAGUUCCUGAGGAAUACCACUGUGCAUACUGUGCAUUCUCAACUGAAAGUCAGUGACAACCCUUUAUCACUUUCCAAAGCCAGAGAUGAAAUGAUACUUUUCCAUUGUUUAGAAAAAUUCCCAACCGAGCCUUCAAAAACAUGCUACAGGACAAGUUUCUAC